ensembl:snRNA U1 U1 spliceosomal RNA
UAACUUACCUGGCAGGGUUCACCCAGGGCGAGGCUCAGCCAUUGCACUUCGGCUGUGCUGACGCCUGCAAAUUCCCCAAAUGUGGGAAUCUCGACUGCAGAAUUUCUGGUAGUGGGGGACAGCGUUCAUGAUUUUUUUUU